rnacentral:rRNA from 1 species
GCGGAAGGAUCAUUAGUAAUAAUGAGCAUUGUGAUCUCGCCGGUUCGGUUUCACGUCUGGCACGCCCCGCAUAAGAUGCAUAAUGGGCUGGCUGACGUGUUCUGGCCGUGUUACCCACUGUGAAAAAACCUUUUGUCGCUUCGGCAGCGGCCCGCCCCCUUGCGGGGCGGGCGUCAGCCUGCCGCCGGCAUUCUUGGAUAACUCAAUCUGCAACCGGUAACCUCUUGUCUGAACAGCGCAGUCGAAUUGACUAUAAAACUUUCAACAACGGAUCUCUUGGUUCCCGCAUCGAUGAAGAACGCAGCGAAACGCGAUAGUUAAUGUGAAUUGCAGAAUUCAGUGAAUCAUCGAGUCUUUGAACGCACAUUGCGCCUCCUGGUAUUCCGGGAGGCACGCCCGUUUGAGCGUCAGCUUACACCCUCCGGUUGGCAAUUUUAUGUUGCCCCGGGCUCUGGCGCGGGGAUGGCCCGGCCGACGGUUUCGUUCCGCCGGCCUGGUUCCCCCGCCUAAACGCGGAGAAAGCUAGCGGGCGAGUCCCCGAACGCGACAACUUGUAGAAACCUUUUGCCGUUGUCAGUGUUCCGGUGGCCGCCAGCCUAUAAACCAACAGGCCCUCGGGCCUAGACGUUUGACCUCAAAUCGGGCGAGGAUACCCGCUGAACUUAA